rnacentral:piRNA from 1 species
UGUCAGUUGUCCUGCUGAUUUCCCCUUGGG